AGAACGAACGCUGGCGGCAGGCCUAAUACAUGCAAGUCGAACGCACCGCAAGGCGAGUGGCAGACGGGUGAGUAACGCGUGGGAAUCUUCCUUGCAGUACGGAAUAACUCCGGGAAACCGGUGCUAAUACCGUAUACGUCCUGGAGAAGAUUUAUCGCUGCAAGAUGAGCCCGCGUCGGAUUAGCUAGUUGGUGAGGUAAUGGCUCACCAAGGCUUCGAUCCGUAGCUGGUCUGAGAGGAUGAUCAGCCACACUGGGACUGAGACACGGCCCAGACUCCUACGGGAGGCAGCAGUAGGGAAUAUUGGACAAUGGGCGAAAGCCUGAUCCAGCCAUGCCGCGUGAGUGAAGAAGGCCUUAGGGUUGUAAAGCUCUUUUGGCGGGAAGAUAAUGACGGUACCGCAGAAUAAGCUCCGGCUAACUUCGUGCCAGCAGCCGC
rnacentral:rRNA from 1 species